GACAGAGGGUGCAAACGUUGCUCGGAAUUACUGGGCGUAAAGCGCGUGUAGGCGGUUACGCGAGUCGGGUGUGAAGCCCGGGCUCAACCCGGACGUGCAUUCGAUACUACGUAGCUGGAGUACUGGUAGAGGAGAGCGGAAUUCCCGGUGUAGAGGUGAAAUUCGUAGAUAUCGGGAGGAACACCAGUGGCGAAGGCGGCUCUCUGGACAGUGACUGACGCUGAGGCGCGAAAGCGUGGGAGCAAACGG
rnacentral:rRNA from 1 species